UCAAUACUCAUAUUUCUUGUAGU
rnacentral:snRNA from 1 species